AGAGGAAAUGGGAAAUGUGUUAGGAUCGGGGGCAAGAGAGGGGUAUGAAAGCAGAAAAGGAUUUUUGUUUUGAAGACGGUUACAAGGAGAUUCAGGAAAAAAAAGGAAGGGGAACUCAUCAAUCAGGGAGAAAAAAGCUUAUCGGAGGAGGAAGAUUUUGACUACAAGGAGAUCAUCAGAAUUAGGCAAAGACGGCAUCGGAAGUGACAGGUAACAGAGGAAACCUCAGAACACUUGCCAGGGGUUUAACAGGUUUUGAGAAAGAAAAUCGUUAAUGUCCUCAGUUCAAUUUGAGGCUUUGGAGUAUCUACAUAACAAUGAAGGCCAAUCUGUGAUCCAUCGCAAUGUAAAAUCAUCAAAUGUUUUGUUAUCGGAGGAUUUUGAACCCAGCUCUCUGACUUUGGACUUGCAAAAUGGGCAUCAACUUCAUCAUCACACAUAAUCUGCAUAGAUGUUGCUGGAACCUUUGGUUACAUGGCUCCUGAGUACUUCAUGUAUGGCAAAGUAAAUGACAAGAUUGCUUGUACGUGGAGAGAGCAUCUGAGGUUCUUCCAUCAUCAGUGGCCAAGGGAAGCUUGUUUGGGCAAAGACAAUGACAGCCCGUCUUUAUCACCAAGCUAGAAGGUUACAGGAAUUCUUCUGCCUUUGAAACAUAAGUUCAGGACAUUGUAUUAUCUCUUCCCAACAGUAUAAAAAAUAUUGUGUAAUUCUCGGGGAAGAUAUCAGAGCUUGAUAAAUGGAUAAAUGUUACAUGAUGUAAUUUCCUGUAAUUGAGAACUGUUUUCGUCUUGCUAUGUAUUCUUUAGGCUUUAGGCUUUAGCUUUAAUUCUGAACUGUUUUUACAAUGCAUAAGAAUGUACAUUUACUGAACUUUGAACUCCACAAUAAAUAGUUAAUUGAAUUAAGAAUUGA